AUGGAAGAUGAAUGGCUUGAACAUGCACAUGGUUCUUGAGAGCAGAGGCAGGCGGAUGAAGAGCAAUGGCUGAGCUCCAGCUCAAGAAGCUCUUCAACUCCAUGGUGCCUUUCCUGGCCUCCUAGCCUCCUAGGUGGUUUGGCCGAGGUACACAGAAACCGGCAAGUCACAAAACGGCAAUGGUGAACUCCAGCAGGAGUCC
rnacentral:sRNA from 1 species